GACGAACGCUGGCGGCGUGCUUAACACAUGCAAGUCGAACGGAAAGGCCCUGCUUGCAGGGUACUCGAGUGGCGAACGGGUGAGUAACACGUGGGUGAUCUGCCCUGCACUUCGGGAUAUGCCUGGGAAACUGGGUCUAAUACCGGAUAGGAGCCAUCUUUAGUGUGAUGGUUGGAAAGUUUUUUCGGUGUAGGAUGAGCUCGCGGCCUAUCAGCUUGUUGGUGGGGUAAUGGCCUACCAAGGCGGCGACGGGUAGCCGGCCUGGGAGGGUGGACGGCCACAUUGGGACUGAGAUACGGCCCAAGCGCCUAAGGGAGGCAACAGGGGGGAAUAUUGCACAAUGGGCGCAAGCCUGGUGCAGCGACGCCGCGGGGGGGAUGACGGCCUUCGGGUUGUAAACUCCUUUCGCUAGGGACGAAGCUUUUUGUGACGGUACCUAGAUAAGAAGCACCGGCUAACUACGUG
rnacentral:rRNA from 1 species